rnacentral:rRNA from 1 species
AACGCUGGCGGCAGGCUUAACACAUGCAAGUCGAGCGGGCGUAGCAAUACGUCAGCGGCAGACGGGUGAGUAACGCGUGGGAACGUACCUUUUGGUUCGGAACAACACAGGGAAACUUGUGCUAAUACCGGAUAAGCCCUUACGGGGAAAGAUUUAUCGCCGAAAGAUCGGCCCGCGUCUGAUUAGCUAGUUGGUAGGGUAAUGGCCUACCAAGGCGACGAUCAGUAGCUGGUCUGAGAGGAUGAUCAGCCACAUUGGGACUGAGACACGGCCCAAACUCCUACGGGAGGCAGCAGUGGGGAAUAUUGGACAAUGGGGGCAACCCUGAUCCAGCCAUGCCGCGUGAGUGAUGAAGGCCCUAGGGUUGUAAAGCUCUUUUGUGCGGGAAGAUAAUGACGGUACCGCAAGAAUAAGCCCCGGCUAACUUCGUG